rnacentral:rRNA from 1 species
GACAGAGGGUGCAAACGUUGUUCGGAAUCACUGGGCGUAAAGCGCGUGUAGGCGGCACGGCAAGUCGGAUGUGAAAUCCCAUGGCUCAACCAUGGAAGUGCACCCGAAACUGCCGAGCUCGAGUCUCGGAGAGGAAGGUGGAAUGCUUGGUGUAGAGGUGAAAUUCGUAGAUAUCAAGCGGAACACCGGUGGCGAAGGCGGCCUUCUGGACGAUGACUGACGCUGAGACGCGAAAGCGUGGGGAGCAAACAGG